GGAAUAUUGCACAAUGGGCGCAAGCCUGAUGCAGCAACGCCGCGUGCGGGACGAAGGCCUUCGGGUCGUAAACCGCUUUUCUGGGGGAAGAGCAAGGACGGUACUUCAGGAAUAAGUCUCGGCUAACUACGUGCCAGCAGCCGCGGUAAAACGUAGGCGGCGAGCGUUAUCCGGAUUUACUGGGCGUAAAGCGCACGCAGGCGGCUCUGUUAGUCGGACGUGAAAGCUCUCGGCUUAACCGGGCGAGGCCGUUCGAUACUGCGAGGAUUGAGGUAGGGAGAGGAAAGCGGAAUUCCCGGUGUAGUGGUGGAAUGCGUAGAUAUCGGGAGGAACACCUGUGGCGAAAGCGGCAUUCUGGCCCUCACCUGACGCUGAGGUGCGAAAGCGUGGGCAGCAA
rnacentral:rRNA from 1 species